rnacentral:lncRNA from 1 species
GUUAUUUUUUUACUUGUAGAAGAAGUAAGGGCAAUUUGGUCAUUUUGCCUUCUGCAUUAACGUCAUACCCCCUGAAAACGUUUUUGAAAUUUUAAGGGGGCAAAAUGUAGGUUUUUGAAAGUCGGGAAGGGAAAGUGCAAAAAGGGUAAAGGAUUUUCUGAAAUUUAUCUGAAAAGAAAAGAUGCAUAAAAAAAUUUGGUAUAGAUGAUUUGAUUGGCAUCAAAUGCCUUAUAAACUAUAAGGAUAAUGAAGUUCCUUUUCUUUACUAGAUUUUUUUUAAUUUAUUUUUUAGAAGGAAUAAUUUCUGGAACUCUUAUAAAUUAAACAUGGGCUUAAAAAAAAGAUUAGAAAAUUAGAAAGAGGAGAGAAGAAGAAGAAGAAUAGUAAAGAUCGAAGGAAAAAAAAGAGAUCUCCAACAAAGAGAAAAAAAAGAUGAGCAAUAAAAAGAGAAAACAAGGCUUUUUUCUACACGUGUAGGAAGGUGGUUCCUGCCUCUCUUGUCCUUUUUUUCCCGCUUUCCAAGGCUAUUUCGUCCACCACGACAACAAUGGGGUGGUGAAUGCAUGAAAAUGAUAUAGUGACUAUCCUAUUGUCGGUUUGAUCAAGCGGCCAUUAUCGUGAUAGGCUUGACACGAUAAAAAACGAUAUUAGGCCAUUAUUAUUGUUGUAAGCAUGCAUUCACUAUCAUCAAGUAGUCGUGAUUCUGAUAUCGACCCCACUAUUAUCAACAUGUGCACACAAACGGUAUGAUGACGAUCCUUAUGUCAGGGUGAUCGAGCGGCCGUCUUCGUGAUAAGGCUCGACACGAUCAAAUCCGAUAUCGGAUCAUUGCCCUUGUCGAACCCAUGUUUACGUUUAUUAUACCAAGCGGCCAUCUUUGUGAUAGGCUCUCGACACGGUCAAAUCCUUAUUUGGACCUCAAAACAUAUAUAAAAUAAAAUAAAAUGAAUAAAAAUAAAAAUGAAAUAAUAAAUAUUUGUCUUGGAUCGCCGUCUUUGUUAGUCUUGAUCCGAUUUGGCUUAAACCAAAUCGCCGUUUUCGUGAUAGGAUCGAUCUAGGAAACCAAAUCGCCGUCUUCGUGAUAGGCUUGAUUUGGAUUCACUUCCAUCGGAUCCCUGUCUUUGUGAUAGGUUUGAUCUGGUUCAUUUAAACCAAAUCCUAUCUUUGUAAUAGACUUGAUUCGGAUUUGCUUCCACUGUAUCGCCAUCUUCGUGAUAGACUUGAUUUGGUUUCGGCUUAAACUAAAUCGCCAUCUUAUAAUAGGCUUUAUUUGGAUUCAUUUCCACAUAAUCGGUGUCUUCGUGAUAGGCUUGAUUUAGUUUGACUCAAACCAAAUCGCUGUCUUUGUGAUAGGUUUGAUUUGGGUUCGGCUUAAAUCAAGUCGCCGUUUUCGUUUAGGCUUGAUUUAGGUCGCUUUCACCUGAUCGCUGUCUCCGUGAUAGGCUUGAUCCUAUUCCGUCUUCAUGAUAAACUUGAUUUUGGUUCGGCUUAAACCAAUUGCGGUUUUCGUGAUAGGCUUAAUCUUGGUUCACUUUUACUAGGUCGCCGUCUACGUGAUAGGCUUGACCUGGUUCGUUAAACCAAAUCGCCAUUUUCAUGAUAGGUUUGAUUUGGGUUUGGCUUAAACCAAAUCACGAUCUUUGUGAUAGACUUGAUUUGGGUUUAGUUCACCUGAGCCGUCUUCGUGAUAGACUUGAUUCGGUUCGUUUAAACCAAAUCGCCAUCUUCUUGAUAGGCUUGAUUUGGAUUCACUUCCACUGAAUCGCUGUCUCCAUGAUAGGCUUAAUUUUGGUUCAACUUAAACUCGCUGUCUUCGUGAUAGGCUCAGCUCAAUUUGGGUUCGCUUCCUCUAGAUCGCCAUCUUUGUGAAAGGCUUGAUCUGGUACGUUUAAACCAAAUUGCUGUCUUCGUGAUAAACAUGGUCCAAUUAGACCCCCACUUUUUGAUGGGUUUGUCUAACCAAACUGUCAGGGAUGUAUUUCUAUUAUCAUACAAACCAUCAUGGACGUAUUUCGAUUAUCAUACAAACCGUCAGGGACAUAUUUCGAUUCUCAUAUGAUAAAAUGACAAUUCAAUUAUCCAUCCAACUAUUCAAUAAAUGGUUCAUGGCCUUGACGCGGUUUAUUUUCAAGCAGUUAUAUUUCUUGGUUCCUAGAUAACCAGUGAUUACUGAGAACUCUAUUAAGACUUACAAACCAAUAUGAUUUCAUCUCUUAGAUUUUUAUAUUAUUCAGAAAAUAUUGAUUACUUGGAUAGAAUAUUCCAUAGUACACUCCUUGUGCUAAAGAAGCUGACUGUGAUUCUGAUUCUGAAGAGUUAUCGCUGCUGACUACACUAGCUAAGGGCCUGUUUGGCCCUGCAGUGCGGUCAAUGAGUAGCCCAGACCGGAGGGCUUUUUGGGAAAGCUCCAAACCAGAGCUCUCGCAAAACCCUCUAUUUGCAGAGUCGCACGCCGCAAAUGCACCCGCGGCUGAUGAAAACUUAAAGAUAGGUUGUCAUCUGUGGCUGAUGUAGCCUUCAUGAUUUUAUGUAGCUGAGUUAGGUUAAGACUUUUCCAGAUACCACGAGGCAAGGAUCCUUCACGAUAGCUGAGUUAGGUCAGACUUUUCCAGAUACAAACUUAAUGAUAGGUUGUUAUUUAUGCUCAAUGGAGUAUCUUUCACGAUUUUACAUAUCUGAGUUAGAUGAAACUUUCCAGAUACCAAAAGGCAAGGAUCUAAGCAUUCUGAUAGUGUAUUGGUACCAAGGAGUUGAAAAGAUCGGUACCGUGCCAACAAUAUGUAAUUCUUGAAGGGCUAGAGUUAAUAUGUUUAUUUUGCAAAUCUUCAAGCUUCUUUUAUUAGUACAAUAAGCGGCUAUUCAGGUUUUUAUACUAGGACAGUGAAGAUGGUGUUAGCUGAGAACCAUUAUCCCGUAGGCAUGAUCUAAAUGAUAUUGGAAUGAUUAUCUCAACUAUUUGAUCAUAUUGAGCACCCUGCUAACAAAUCACUGCAUUCUGAAUUAGUUCUUUUUUAGGUAAAACUGUACAUACACCCUUUACUAUAGGCCAUUGUGAAACAGACCCCUAAUUUUGCCUUUCCCCAACUUUUGAUUGGUUUGAUUUGAGAUAAUGUAGUCCGUUAAAAUGGUGAUUUUGUAAAACCUGAUAAUGUUUCCAUUAAGUAAACACAGAAUUGCAGGUUCCACCAACUAUCAACAGCUAAUUGCUAUUAGAAAAACAUAUCCUGAAUCCAAAUUUGAUGGUGUCAAAAAAAGAAAAGAAAAAAAUGAAGAUAGCACUUUAUUUCUAAAGGGCCUAUAGUUGAGGCAGUCUCAGUAUAUCUUUACCAUACUAGCAAUGAGCACCAGUGUUUGGAUACUAAAGAUAGUGUUGGGUUGAAUGGAGUCAGGAUUCAAACUGUUCUUGCUUUAGGAUUAUUAUGUCAUCGCCCUGAAAAUACAUGCACCCUGCUAACCCUUACCGUACUUGUCAAAGGCUCAGAAUUAAUUUUGUGUUGGUGAUUCUUCUUUCCUGUUAUAGUACCACGAUAAUCCGUUUUACAGUUCAAUAGCAAACCGUAACUUGACAUAUUAUCUUUUUUUCGCUACUUGAUACUUCAAUUGGGUUAGUUUGUUUACUGUAAUCUUUUUAUCAUAGAAUCGAGGAAUGUUGCGAGACUGGUUGCUUGUUUUUGUUUUGGCUGAUCUUUUUGUAGCUUUUGGCAUCCCUCUGGCAUAACUAUUCUAGCACCAAUUAUUAUAAACCUAUAAUUUCUUCUGAAAAUUCAUAUUUCUGACCAACCUAGCAUGGGAUUAAGAUUGAACUGAUGCAGGUUGACAUUAUGUAUCCCUAUUCCGGAAUGUUUUCUCCAAAUGAAAUCGCCGAUAGCUCCAAAAAAAUUUCCAGAAGUGCUUUGAAGAUUGGCUCCAAUGCUACAAAAUGGCGGCAAGAACCUUUACUGGAGAAGCAUCAUGCCAUGCUUCUGCGGUGGAGAUUCUUGCUGCUAUUUCAUGGCAUUGAAGUAAUGAAACCUCAAAGAGCUUUUGGAACUCUUAAAGCAUCGACUCGGUUGUGUCUAAAUAACACAUUUUUAAACUAGGCCGCGGUUGGCCUGGAUUUGUAUCAUCUUAAGAACUUGUCUAUAUUGUCUUUCUAUUUAACUAACUACUUGAUUCCAAACUGGCACAAGUAGUUCAAUUUAAUCAUGUUUGGCGUUGCACCACUCAUCUUCCAGUACUCAGAAACUAAAUCCUUUUAUUCUUUUUUUCCCCCCUAAAAAUAUCUGUUGUGCGUUUCUAUCAGCUUGAAGGCUAACAUCUCCCAUAAUGCAUGGUUUGGAAAUUUUCGGUUGAGAGGUGGAGCAUGCGGGAAAAGCAGUUCUAAAACAUGGUUUCUUCAUCCCAUUUAUUCUUUGGCGGCCAGGUCCAAUUUUCUUUUCCCUACAACAUUGGACCCUAGAUGGAAACACUAAUAACCAAAUUACCAGAACUACACAAUCAAAUUUUUUUUUUCUUUUACAUUACUGCCCAAUGUAUUCGAAGUGUCUUCGUGCUUGUAAUAGCCUUUUGUUUUCUUGUAAUACAUCAUCACCCGUAGUUGUAUGCAAUGCAACAUAGAUUUUGAUUUGUAUGUUUGUUCAAAUUAGUAAAUAUUGAUUUAUUUGUUGUUAAAAUUGUCUAUCAAGUAUAUGUUCUUGUUCUUAUGACUGGUUUGUUUCUGUUUAUAACCUGCAUAAUAUUUUGGGUUAAUUCACACGGCUAGUCCCUGAACAAAUGCUUCACUUUGAUCCUCAAAGUUGAGAACUUUGUUUUACUCCUCAUGCAUACUUACUGCUAGAGAGCUGUUGAGUUACAAUUUUUUUCUUUAUGUGAAAGUUGGAUCUUGGAAUUAAACUUAAUAUAAGAUGGAUAAAGAUGGAUAGGGGACUGAUGGACAUAUGGUGUAGGGGAUGUAACAAAGAAUCUAUAAGGUAAGAACUACAAUAAUAGUAAAUAAAAUAUUAUUGAGAGAUUCGAAUUCCAAAACUCAAAAAUAGAAAUUUUAGGGACUACUAGUACAAUUUACCCUAAUAUUUUUGUUCCUGUGAUAAGAUGUGUCAGAGGAGAAAGGGCCAAACAUUAGGGUUUACGUUUCUUUGUCUCAUUAAUUGGAUGACUCAUGGCACUUUUCAAAGGCCAGCUAUUGCAUAGAUAGAUCCUCUGUCUUGUUUUGCCUGGUGUCCUUCUUGUUGAGGAUCCACUAGUGCAGGACAGUAUUAAUCCUUUGAGAAGGUUAAACCCCCCUUUCACUUAUUUUAUUAUUAUUAUUAUUAUUAUUAUCUCUCUUUUCAUAACAAUGGCGGUGAGUCAUGUAAGCCAAAAUCUGCUUUCCCUUAUAAAAGUCAAAAGUCUAUGUGAGGUCGGCAGUAACUAUACAGAGUUACAACUAUUAUGGUGUCUUCUUGUAUGUUACAAUUGUAAGAAGACUAUUUGUGUAAAUCCUUGUCAGUUACCAGAACGAUCUGUUGGGUUACAUUGCAUGAUUCAGUCAUAAGGCUUCUCUUUUCUAAAAGGUAUCUUGAGUUCAAUAUUUACAUGUCCGAAUAAGAUAUUCAAUAAUAACAUAUUUGGUACGAGGUUUUUUGUUGUGUGAUGGUAAGCGAAGAGUUUGAUUUCUACUUCUUGAAGGCUUUUUUUUUUUUUUUUUUUUCUGGACGUAUGAAUAUUUUGUUCAGUAUGUUUUUUUAAUUUACUUGAGAGAUUUAUACAUUUGGAAGAGAGCACUAAAUGUCUAGAAUUAGAUACCAUAUUCGGUCUUUAUUUUAUUUUAUUUUAUUUUUUCAAAAAAUAAAUAAUCUCGGAGGCGAAAUGUACGAUCCUACUAAAUAAUGGAUCUCAAGACACUUCAAGAAGCAAAAAUCAAAUUUUUUUUUUACAAUCACACUAGAAAAUUUUCAUACUGAAGAAGUUGUUGUUGGACAACUUAAUCUGACAUCCAAAUAGUGUCGAAUGCCCUGUUCAGAAGCUGCAGGAUAACUUAUUUGGUAUCGGAGUAAGAGGUUUUCAGUUCGACUCAUGCUGGCUCCUAGCAUUAUUAAUUUCUUCUCAGUCGUUUUACAUGGUAUCCAAGUCACACUGGCUCUUAGUAUUUUUGUUGAACAAAAUUAUAUUUUAUGAAAAAUUAGUAUUUUUGUUUUCUAAAUUUUAUAUUAGAAAAAACAAAAACACUAGCUGUGCAUAAAAUAUGAAGAAAAAAAAAAGAUUUUUCAUAAAAACUAGUUUUUUUUAAGAUUCAAACGGACGAAAAAUUGGAAAGGCAAAUUUUCAUGAAAAUUUUUUUUCUUGAAAUUUUUUUUAUACUUUUUUGAGAAAUCAAAGAAUCCCUUAUUAGUGAAUCUCAGCCUCCCAAAUCAUAUGGAUAUAUAAAUAAUUUUAUUGCGCACAAAAUUAAUUGCGCUAUGUGCAUAUAUAGCAAAUUUCUAAAAAGCAAGGGAGAUGUAGAAGGACGAUUCCACCGAGCAUGCAUGGUUUAGAAUAGAAUAACACAUGAUUUAGAAUGAUGCACUCAGUGAGUUUUUUUUUUAUUAUUUUUUUUUCCUUUUCCCAUGUGAAGUAGUGCAUCUGAUAAUUGAGUUUCUUUUCAUUCAGAUCAAGCACGUUUACACACAACACACACACACACACAAAGAUUUUUUUUAAAAAAAAGAGGUUAUUUUCAGCUUUUUAUUCUCCCCUUGUCAUUUUAUGGGCAAUUUCCCGUGAGCACGCAAAAAGUUAGCAUCUCAAACAUAUGUUAGUUGUGCGUAGAUUAAUCUGGAAUAUAAUUAUCUCGUGACGCAUACAAAUUCAUGCACCACCAAGUAAAGUUGCAAAAUGAAUCAGGAACAAGACAAAUAGAUUGGGAAACAAUAUUAUUAUAUAAAUUAAGUCACAAGUCACCCAUUUACUUUAUAUAUAAUAAUAAUAAAUAGUAUUUGUAUAUGGACAAAGUUGUUGUUAAUUAGAGCUUUUUUAUUUCAUUUUUUUAUAUUAUUAUUUGUCACCUGGCGGAUUUUCCGUCUACGUAUUUAGCUGAGAAGGCUAAUUGAGGACGGAAACUGAAAGAGAGAUGAUGGGAAAACUUCACAGACCCCGUGCGAUUUCGUACUUUUUCAUUUUAGUACUUUAUGAUUUAAAAUAUAUAAAGUUAGUAUCCGGUGGUUUCGCACUUUCUCACUUUAGUACCAUAUGAUUUAAAGUGUAUCAAGUUAGUACUCUAUGAUUUUAUUUUUGUAUCAAGUUAGUAUCCUGCGAUUUUAUUUUUGUAUCAAGUUAGUACCUUGUGGUUUUAUUUUUCUCUUAGGGCAUGUUUGUUUCAACGUAAGUAGACUUGGGGUGGAAGUGGACUUUGAGUUGAAGUGGAGUUGGGGUGAAAAUUAGUUCACUUCUACUGUUUGUUUCUAACCAUGGAAGUGCAGUUCUGCGAGUUCUGUUGUUUGUUUGGUAGGAAUUAGAUGACGUAAAAAGUGUAGCUCUCCACCCCCGGUAUACUUACCUUUAAAGUGAUAUUAUUGUCUAUUUUGUAAAAUUAAUAUAAUUAUAUAUGUAUAUAAUUAUAUAUAUGUAUAAUUAUAAAAUAAAAUUUUAAAAUAUUAUAUUAUUUGUUUGCAUAUAAAUUAUAAUAAUGCAACAAAUAAAAUUCUAAAGUUAAAAAAUUAUUAACAUUUAACAAAUUCAUUUUUCAUCAUUUUCUAAAUGUACAAAUUAAACAAAAAAUAUAUUAAAGCUUACCUAAUCAAAUUUGAUCAUAUUUUAGAAGAGGUAACCCUAACACAUUAAUCCAUUCUUGCCUUUUUUUCACUUCACCGGAAUUGACUUCGCCCAAUGGGAGGGCGAAGUCAAGUUCAUUAUUUUAGGUGAACUGGACUUUCGGGUGUAAUAAAAUUACGGUGAACCAAACAACGGAAGUGGUCAGUUUUCACCGAAAAUCACUUUCCCCGUCCCACUUCCACCCCACUUCCCUCGAAACAAACAGGCCCUUAAUGAAAUAUUAAACCACAGGGUACUAAAGUGAGAAAGUGUGAAACAAUACGGUACUAACUUGAUACAUUUUAAACCAUAGGAUAUUAAAAUGAAAAAGUGUGAAACCACAGGGUAUUAACUUGAUACACUUUAAACUACAGAAUACUCAAGUGAGAAAGAGUGAAACUAUAAAGGGGGUAUUUGAAGUUUUCCCAAAGAUGAUUAUGGAAAGGCUUUUCGAAUUUGGUUCUUUUUUGUCUUAUUCUAUCAAACAUUUAUAUUAUAUUUAUAUUUUUGAGGGAAAACUUCAUAUACCAUUUUUGUGAUUUCACACUUUCUCACUUUAGUAUUCCGUGAUUUUAUUUUUAUUUUUUUAUUAUCGAUUUUACUAAUUUUUUUGUUAAAUCAGUGAUAAAGUUAAAACUAAAGAGUACUAAAAUAAAUAUUUGAUAAAUUUAGAUAGAGUACCUAAAAAUUUUUUGUAUAUAAUCUAACGAAAUAUUAACAAAAAAGUUGACAAAAAAUAAUAAUGAAACUACAGGACAUUAACUUGAUAUCCUUUAAACCACAGGUACAAAAAUGAGAAAGUACAAAAUCUCAAGAGUGGUAUUUGAAGUUUACCCU